CCUACGGGUGGCAGCAGUGAGGAAUAUUGGUCAAUGGGCGCUAGCCUGAACCAGCCAAGCAGCGUGAAGGAUGACUGCCCUAUGGGUUGUAAACUUCUUUUAUAUGGGAAUAAAGUCCAGUAUGUAUACUGCUUUGCAUGUACCUUAUGAAUAAGGAUCGGCUAACUCCGUGCCAGCAGCCGCGGUAAUACGGAGGAUCCGAGCGUUAUCCGGAUUUAUUGGGUUUAAAGGGAGUGUAGGCGGGUUGUUAAGUCAGUGGUGAAAGGUUGUGGCUCAACCGUGAAAUUGCAGUUGAUACUGGCAUCCUGGAGUAGAGUAGAGGUAGGCGGAAUUCGUGGUGUAGCGGUGAAAUGCUUAGAUAUCACGCAGAACUCCGAUUGCGAAGGCAGCCUGCUGGACUGUAACUGACGCUGAUGCUCGAAAGUGUGGGUAUCAAACAGGAUUAGAUACCCGUGUAGUC
rnacentral:rRNA from 1 species